UACGGAGGGUGCAAGCGUUAUCCGGAAUCACUGGGUUUAAAGGGUGCGUAGGCGGUCAGAUAAGUCAGUUGUGAAAUCCCCAGGCUUAACUUGGGAACUGCGUCCGAUACUGGAGGGCUCGAGUGCGGGAGAGGGAUGUGGAAUUCCAGGUGUAGCGGUGAAAUGCGUAGAUAUCUGGAGGAACACCGGUGGCGAAGGCGGCAUCCUGGACCGACACUGACGCUGAUGCGCGAAAGCCAGGGGAGCAAACGGG
rnacentral:rRNA from 1 species